rnacentral:lncRNA from 12 species
CCACAACCUGGUGGCCGACAACAUCAGAAACGUAAGCUCGCGCUGCCUGGAGGCCAGAGGCCCAGUAACUGUGUUGCCAGGGCCCCGUUCUGGGCCCUCCGGGAAAACCCAUUCUCUGCCCCCUCCAGCUUCUGGCGCUAGCCCUUGGCGUUCUUUGGCUUCUGAACUCACCGCCCCAAUCUGCGCCCUCAUCUCCGCGUCGCCUUCUCGACCCUCAAAGCUCCUCAAGACUCCUCCUGCGGCAGCCCCAGUGGAGCAGCGGUUUAGCGCCGCCUGCAGCCCAGGGCGUGAUCCUGGAGACUGGGGAUCGAGUCCCGCGUCGGGCUCCCUGCAUGGAGCCUGCUUCUCUCUCUGCCUGUGUCUCUGCCUCUCUCUCUCUGUCUCUAUGAAUAAAUAAAUAAAUAAAUAAAUAAAUAAAUAAAUAAAUAAAUAAAUAUUUUAAAAAAAAAAAACUCCUCUGCCUCCCUUAUAAGGAUACGUGUGAUUGUAUUUAGGGCCCACCCAGAUAAACCAGGAUAAACUCCUCCUACAAAGAUCCCAACCGCAUCAUCCUUUUUUUAAUAUAAGGUAAUAUUUACAGGUCCUGGGAUUAAGAAGUGAAUGUGCCUUUGAGGGGCCGUUGUUCAGCUUACCACAGGAGUCAACACGUGAACUGGCCCUUUUAGGGUGAAUAGGAGUUGACCUCAUGGCAAAGGGUCAAGGGGAUAUUCCAAGGCCCAGAGGCAAAGUCCUGGCCCUAGCCUGGGAGCGCAGAGGUCUCGAUGAUGGAGAGGUAAUGGUGCGAGCGCUAAUGCUGUUGAGAGAAGGCAGAGGGGACUGCUGUGCUCACAGAUGUGUGGGACAACUUAUUCAACCAGCCGACCUGCCACCUGCCAGGAGCCUGAGCAUAUCAUCUUCUGGAAUGAUUUGCUUUCCAUUCUCCUGGGCAUCAGUGUGCUGGAAACUAUGCUCUGCCUUCUUCAAGUUGCCAGUGGACUCUGUAACAUCUUCUGUGGUACAUGUGUCGGAAAAGGACAGGUGGACAUAACUGGCUCCUGAUCUAAGAAAUCACAAAUGAUUGACACAUAAAGGAGACUUCCUCAGGUUCUGAAGAACUGGAUUUGGUGAAUGUCAAUCCCCAGAGUUCUGAGAAGCUGAGAAAACAAAAGAACAACAACAACAACAACAAAAAACUUUCCUUCUAGAGUAGAUUUUUAUAAAAAGAUAAGGGUUUUGAAAACUUUAUCUUCUUUAUUAGAAUCAAUAUUGUCAUUUCCCUCAAAUGACAUGUAAGAAUGAUACACAAUGCCAUAAGACUGUACAAUAAUAGAAUAAUAAAUGAUAAUCUAAC